UGAAUAUAUGCUAUGCAUGAUGAAUCUAGUUGAUGUACAAUCAUCAAUAUAUGCUACGUAUGUUGAAUCUAGUCGUGUACAAUCAUGAAUAUAUUCUUCAUAUGAAGCAUACAAGGAGGGAAGCAGAAACUGGUGUAAUAUCUGUCAUAACACCCAACCAUGCAAUACUGCCAAAUGAGCAAUGGUGUCUGCACUUCCUGAACUAUGGUUCUAUUGAGGUCCUGUUUGACACUAGUCUUUGGGU